rnacentral:sRNA from 1 species
AACCUGAUAUUUUCAAUCAUUGAUUUUGGGGGAUUUUUUUUGGGAGGGGGGGGGGGGAAGCUAUCCAAAAAGAUUGUUAUAAUGAAGGAGGUAAUAUUACUGCUUUCAACAAAAAUCCAAUUAAGAUGAAAACAUUUUUAUAUUAUAUACACUGUGGUUAUACAGUAGCAGAUUUGUAGAUACCUGGUCUAGAGCCCUUGUAGAAAAAUGGUGAGACCUGAUUUAGGUUCACCUCUGAUUUAUAAGUAGUAUUGGCAAAUAUUCUGUUCAACUCAAAGGUUAAGUGUGACAAUCUCCUAGAAAUACAGUUAUAUGUCUGCAAUUAACUAUGUGUACAGAAUCGAAUCCAGAUUAUAAUUUUUUUAUGAAAAUCAUUCCUAUGAUUAAAGAAGCCUUACCUCUUUCAUAUUUGUUGUUUGGGUAAUCUUCAGAUUGACCAAUCAAAAUAUUUAUAUUUAUUUCAGAAUUCAGUGUCAUAUUGUCAUGUUUCAUUUGUUGUGAACUUGAAUAAAUUUGUACAAAAGACUGGACAU